rnacentral:rRNA from 1 species
CUUGCACUAGAUGAAACUAUGUAGAAGCGAGCGGCGGACGGGUGAGUAACACGUGGGUAACCUGCCCAAGAGACUGGGAUAACACCUGGAAACAGAUGCUAAUACCGGAUAACAACACUAGACGCAUGUCUAGAGUUUGAAAGAUGGUUCUGCUAUCACUCUUGGAUGGACCUGCGGUGCAUUAGCUAGUUGGUAAGGUAACGGCUUACCAAGGCAAUGAUGCAAAGCCGAGUUGAGAGACUGAUCGGCCACAUUGGGACUGAGACACGGCCCAAACUCCUACGGGAGGCAGCAGUAGGGAAUCUUCCACAAUGGACGAAAGUCUGAUGGAGCAACGCCGCGUGAGUGAAGAAGGGUUUCGGCUCGUAAAGCUCUGUUGGUAGUGAAGAAAGAUAGAGGUAGUAACUGGCCUUUAUUUGACGGUAAUUACUUAGAAAGUCACGGCUAACUACGUGCCAGCAGCCGCGGUAAUACGUAGGUGGCAAGCGUUGUCCGGAUUUAUUGGGCGUAAAGCGAGUGCAGGCGGUUCAAUAAGUCUGAUGUGAAAGCCUUCGGCUCAACCGGAGAAUUGCAUCAGAAACUGUUGAACUUGAGUGCAGAAGAGGAGAGUGGAACUCCAUGUGUAGCGGUGGAAUGCGUAGAUAUAUGGAAGAACACCAGUGGCGAAGGCGGCUCUCUGGUCCGCAACUGACGCUGAGGCUCGAAAGCAUGGGUAGCGAACAGGAUUAGAUACCCUGGUAGUCCAUGC